AUUGAACGCUGGCGGCAUGCCUUACACAUGCAAGUCGAACGGUAACGCGGGGCAACCUGGCGACGAGUGGCGAACGGGUGAGUAAUGCACCGGAACGUGCCCAGUAGUGGGGGAUAGCGCGGCGAAAGGCGGAUUAAUACCGCAUACGACCUACGGGUGGAAGCGGGGGACCGAAAGGCCCCGCGCUAUGGGAGCGGCCUAUGUCAGAUUAGGAAGUUGGAGGGGUAAAGGCAUACCAAGCCGACGAUCUGUAGCUGGUAUGAGAGGACGACCCGCCACACUGGGACUGAGACACGGCCCAGACUCCGACGGGAGGAAGCGGUGGGAAAUUUUGCACAAUGGGGGAAACCCUGAUCCAGCCAUGCCGGGUACGGGAAGAAGGCCUUCGGGUUGUAAACCGCUUUUGUCAGGGAAGAAACGCUCUGAGUUAAUACCUCGGGGUAAUGACGGUACCUGAAGAAUAAGCACCGGCUAACUACGUGCCAGCCGCCGCCGUAACAC
rnacentral:rRNA from 1 species